rnacentral:lncRNA from 1 species
GUUCUCUUCAUCAGAUCUGCCAAGGUUUUUUCUUUUUUUCAUUUUUUGUUUAAAGAGAGGGAGAGAGAAAGUAACAAGACUAGCUUGUUACACGUUGCAUGCAACUGGUUACAAGAUCUGUCUGUCCUUCAAGCGCCCAAACAGUAAAGCGAGGAAGUUAACAAGACACGUGGCUGUUAUUAUUUCAAUUACAAUGUCUUCUGGAAUUCUUCCAGAGAAAGCAGAUGUAGGUUUGGCCCAAAGGCUACUAGAUAAACUGUUACAUUUGUUAUAAAAUACAUACGGCUUCUGAAGUUACUUGCUUGGUGGAUAUGAGUUCGAAAAGAAACAGCACUAGGUUGGGAUGACUGAAUGCAGGGACGAGGGACCGGUGGCUCUACAGAUGUGGGGUAGAGCUACCCUCUCAACCCUGGCCUCCCUUCAGGAGAUCAGGACCUGAGCUAUAAUUCCCAGAGUGGUUGAAUGUUCAAUCCCUCUUCCCAGGGAAUUGUAGUUCUGUAGGCGGGAAAGGGCUCUUCUAAGAGCUCUCAGCAUCCUUCACAAACUAUAGCUCCCUGAAUCAUUUGCAGGGCAGUCAUGACUGUUUAAAAUUAUACGACACUGCUUUAAAUCUAUAGCAGAAACAGGGCUUAAAUGUCAUGCCUUUUAGUAUAGUGUUCUCUCUAAUACUGAGAGCCAGUGUGGUGUAGUGGUUAAGAGCAGUGGACUCAUAAUCUGGUGAACCGGGUUCGCGUCUCCGCUCCUCCACAUGCAGCUGCUGGGUGACCUUGGGCCAGUCACACUUCUCUGAAGUCUCUCAGCCUCACUCACCUCACAGAGUGUUUGUUAUGGGGGAGGAAGGGAAAGUAGAAUGUUAGCUAAUUUGAGACUCCUUCGGGUAGUGAUAAAGCGGGAUAUCAAAUCCAAACUCUUCUAAUACGCGUAUGUUUUUGUUGUUGGAGAACUACAUUGCAAAAUUCAGAGAAGGAUAGCUGUGUUUUCCUUCUUGUCUUGGUCCAGGAAGUGCAGGUUAAGUGCGCUGAAUGCGUUUCUCCACCAACUCUACACCUACACAGGACAAGCCAGGAUGCUCUGUUGCCAUUGCACCUUCUCUCUUAACCUGGUAGAAGAGACUCCAAGAUCAUAAUGGAAGGAAGGAAAGAAAUAAAGUUAAAUCUAAAUGUCUUCCUUCUUAGUUACUCACCUGGCAUCUCAUUAAACACUUUAAGCUCCUCUUUAAACUUCUAAAGAACUAUGGAGGUUGGGCUGCUAUUGUUCUGAAAGUCUUUUCUUAUUGAGGAGACUUAUCAAAGGGAGGAAAGCUCCUUUUCCUCAGGAUUUACAAGGGACGUGUCAGAUUUGCUUAAGUUACUGCCAGCCUCGUUUUGAAAACCUCCACCUGUCUCCCUGUUUGGGUGUCGUCAGCAGGUGUGGGGGGUUUUGUUUCACUCUCUCCCCACAAGCUGCCUUUACAGCCUCCUUUCCCGUAUUAUUUUCUGAUCUACACAUGUCACUUGAAUCACAUUUCUCUGAACAUAGUCAAGGGGGAAAAAACACCAGUUGGGGAGCAUUUGGAAGCAGACAAUCUCACAUAAGGAAGUGAGAUUACAAACACAAUUUUAGUGGAGAACCCACAAUUAUGGAGUUCCCUCCCUGAGACCUACAUCAUUCCCCUUCUCUCACCAUGGAGACUUUUCUAUCCAAUAAGGCAUUUUUGAAUAAUUCCUCUGGUUAUGUGUUUUAUCUGUAUUUGCUUUAAUUUUUGUGAGCUGCCCUGAGUUCUAGUACUGGAGGAAAGGUGGGAUGUAAAUAAUAAAAAAAAUUGAACAGGUAAACACUGGGGAGACAAAGGGCACAUUCGCACUUGAGAGCAAUUUAAACAGUCGUGGCUUCUCCCAAAGAAUUCUGGGAACUGUAGCUUGUUACAGGUGCUGAGAAAUGUUAGGAGACCAUUAUUCCCCUCACAGAGCUCCCUGGGAAUAGGAGCUCUGAGAGAGAAAUGAGGUCUCCUAACAACUCUCAUUACCCCUAAUGAACUACAGCUCCCAGAAUUCUUUGGUGUAAGCCAUGACUGUUCAAAUGGUAUCAUAGUAUGUUAAGUGCAUGGUGUGAAUGUGGCCCAAGUGAGAUGAGUGGUCAAAGAGGCAAUACUGUGGUGGCAAGUGCUUAAGGGAUGCUUGUUCUUAUGUGGGUGAGAAGAGCAAAGGCCCUCCUUUGGUUAAUAAUGAAAGCCAUGUGACCGUAGCUGCGGAGAUAACAUUGAUCUUACAUGCCUUGGAAACUAUAGCUAAGGAAAUUGAGUGUGAUAAUCUGCCAACUGGUAUUUCACCCGCCCAAAAAAGAUUAAAAAUAUAUAUAAGGAAGAUACGUUCAUCUCAGGCAAAUAGCCAACCAGAUGAAUGCUUCAAUAGAUGUGUACUUAAAUGAUACCGAUAUGAAAGACAAACACAGCUGUUAGCCUUUAAAAUAUAUGUGCAAUUAAAGCUUUUUAUGUGGUGUCUUGUGAUAACUUAAGGCAUCUUCCCCCCCCCCUGAAAUAUUUCCUUUUGACCAAUGCCAGAUAACUAUAUAGGACAUUAGUGGGUUCUUGUUGUUAUAGGGUGUGCAUUCCUCAUUUUGCCUGAUUGGUGCUCUCAGGAAGACUCCCUUGCUCAAUAGACAGGAAAUAGACAUACUGGUAGAUUAAUCCACCAACAGCCCAACCCUAUCCAUUUGUACUCAAAAAUAGUUUGAGUUCAGAGGAGUUUGCUCACAUAAACAUUGCACAGGGUUGCAGUCUUUGUUGUCUCCUUAGGCCAAAGUCCUAGACCAGGCAUGUCCAACUCCCAAGAGACUGCAAUCUACUCCCAGUAUAAAACAACUGGCAAUGAUCUACCCAUUUUCAUUGGAGGGAUGAGGAGUGUUCAUGGGGUGGGUGGAUUGCCCAGAGUUGUGGAGCCCAGAGUUGUGGAGCUUUUUCAGGGUAGGAUUGCCCAGAGUUCUUCAGCUUUUACUUGUUAACUUUUGGUAAACUUUAUUUAAUCCCAUGAUUGAUAAGGGUCCCAUGAUCUACCAGGAUCAGCCUGGGAUCUACUGGUAGAUCACGAUCUACUGGUUGGACAUGCCUGUCCUAGACUCAUUUCCCUGGGAGUAAGACCCACUGAACACAAUAGAACCUGUUCAGAGCAAACAUGCUAUUACAUGGACUAUUAAUUGAUUAGUAAAUGAGGGUAGUUUUUUUUAUCAAAUGAGAUGCGUCUUAUAGCUUUCUGCUUCUUUUUGAGAGUAUUUCAGUGCUGGUAUGCUUAUCAACAAAUGCAAAAGGAAAAAAUAAAUAAACAUGGCUUCCAGAUUAUGCAUGGUAGCAUCUGUUGAUUAAAUUUCCUUCAAAAGGCCAUCUGUAUUGAAGGUUUGGUAAUAUGCAGCUUUGCAGAAACUUCAGUAAUAUAUGAAAAGGUGAAACCAGGUUUCCAAAGGCUUUGCAUGAGAUUUUCAAAUACUCAGCAUUACAACAUGGCAUUAUGCAUAUUGUUUAACAAGGGAGUUCAAGUACAGCAAUGACAGGCCUAAAAGUCAAUGGCAGGCCACAGGUUUUGCAAGAUUAUAAACCCCAAAAAAUCCCCUUUGCUGCAAAACAGAACAAUCUGAACAACAUCAAGCAACACGUAGGCUAAUAAUAUAUUCACAAUACAGGUUUUGCAAGUGCAGAGUCCAAUGUUCAGUCUCUGGUAUCUCCAAUUAAAAUAUCUCACUUAGCUGGGCUCGGGGUGGGGGGUGGGGGUGAGGGGACUGCUUCCAAUAGAGGCCCUAGAGAGACAAUGAAGUAUGAUCAAAACAAUUGGGUUAGGUGGUUUGACAGCUUUCCAGGUUCAAGUGCAGCAGUCCAUUUCCUGGAUGUGAGCUGUCAGCAACACUUGGAAAGUUCCUUAUAAAAAAAGGAACUGGUUACAGUUCUAGUUCAUGCUGUUUAAAAAGGAAUGAGUUCCAGUUCGUCCUUUAACAAAAUGAACUAGUUCAGUAUAAGUUCAUUCAAAUAAACCUUUUAGUUCCAAAAGUAAAUCGGGGCAAACACAAGUAAUAAGAUGUCUGACACAGACAUAAUGUAAACCGGUCUAGCUUUCCCUAUAAUUGUAUUUCCAUACUAGAAAAUGUUUACCUUGUUUAUUUGGGCCAGCCACACAGCUAUCACUUUAUUUCUUUAUCUGUACUUCCCACUGCAAGCUGCUCCUGUUGGAAGAGAAUGAAUUUCUUCAGGAGGGAAGAUAAUCUUCUGAUUACUUAGCAACAGUGAUUAAACAACCUUAGCAGCAGUAAUAGCCCUGCAACUGCCUAAUAAGCCUCAGAAUGUUGCCUCCACAUUUUGCUUUCUAACUUUCUUUACAGAUGUCCAAUUAUUAUUAUUUUUUAAAAAAUAUUUUAUUGAAUUGUAAAACAAACAAAGAAGCAAAUACAAUUUGUGGAUAUACAUCAAAUAAUAACUGUUUAUGCUGUCACAUUACACAACCAUGCCUCUAAUAUUAACAGUUAAACGAGAGGAGCACAGUUUUUAUAAAUCAAUUACGAGGUACAAAUUUGAUGCAUUGGUACAGCCCAAGAACUAUGCAGAUCAUUUGCAGUAGCAUAAGAGAUAAAUUCAAAUGACAUAGAAAUGUUCCAGGUCUUCACAUCCUUUUGAAACUUUUAAAUUCUGUUAUUUUCUCAGUAUUGCCAGAUUCUAGACAUUAUUAUACCACAAAGACAAUCAUGUCAUGCCUUCCUUUUGGAGCCAUAAAAAUUCAAGCAGCUGCCAACAACCACAUUACUAAGUCCUUUGAAUGUACUGUAUAUUUGCUGCCUGAUUAUCCAGCAUGUUUAGCAUUUGACUGCUAGUUAUUUGAACAGCAGUCUUAAUAAUUUUAGCAAUCUCCUGAUAUACCUCAAUCCAAAAUUUGUAAAUAAGCAGGCACUCACACCACAAAUCGAAGUGCGUGCCCCUGGCACUACACUCAUGCCAGCAAACCGGUGUCAUGGGAGAGAGAGGAGAUCCCAGCAGACUUUAGGGAUGCCAAAAUUAUCCAUUUCUUUACAAAAGGUGAUAAAAUGGAUUGAGGAAACGAUCGAGGCAUCUCCUUAUUAGCUGCGAACGGCAAAAUUCUUGCAAGGAUCUUAGCAAACCAUCUCCUAACAAUAUCCAAGGUUACCCUUCCUGAAUCCCAAAAUGGUUUUCGACCUUCUAGGGGGUAGUGGACAUGAUUUUUCUCUGCUUGACACCUUCAAGAACAAUGCAGACAGCAAAACCAGCCCCUGUAUAUGGCGUUUAUUGACCUGACUAAGGCCUUCGACACCGUAAAUCGUAAUGCCCUGUGGACUGUCCUUCUGAAAAUUGGCUGCCCAGAUAAAUUUGUGAACAUCAUUCGGCUCCUCCAUGAUAAUAUGGCAGCAACCAUCACAAGUAACAAUGGCUUUCAAAGUGAACAAUUCACAGUGGGAUCUGGGGUUAAACAGGGUUGUGUUAUCUCCCCAACUCUAUUUAUUAUUUUCAUUGCCAUGAUCCUACACUUUGUCGAAGGGAAAUUCCCUACUGGAGUAGAAAUCAUAUAUCAAACAGAUGGAAAGCUCUUUAAUCUGAGUAGGCUGAAAGCAAAGUUACUGUAACUUCCAUCAUAGAGCUUCAGUAUGCUGAUGACAAUAUAGUGUGUGCAGACUCAGAGGAUGAUCUCCAAACCAUCCUAAAUAUCUUUGCAUAAGCUUAAAAAAAGCUUGGCCUGUCACUCAACAUCCAAAAAACCAAAGUGCUGCACCAACAAGCACAAAACAACCCCUCUACAGUGCCACAAAUCCAACUCAAUAAUGUAAUGUUGGAAAGUGUUGAUCACUUCUCCUACCUGGACAGUUAUCUUUCUACAAGGGCUGACGCUGUUGCCAAAAUCCAGCAUUUCCUGAGCUCUGUGUGUGUAGCUUUCUCCCGACUGAAGGGCAGAGUGUUUGAGGACUGGGACACUUGCAGGGAAACCAAAAUGCUUGCUUACAAUAAGAGAUAGCAUAAAACAGUAGCAAAGGAAUGACCACCAUAUAAACUUUAUGUGAAGUUGAUGGGCAGAUCAAAGGCCUUCUUCUAGUGCCAAAAACAAUGGGGAAGAUUUUUCUAAGCUUGAGGCUCAGCAACUGAAAAAACACACAACAAAAACACAAAACUCUAUCUUAGGUGACCACCUACUUUGCUUCUGAAUAUGAAGGAACCCGAAGAAGAGUUUUAAUUAUUAGGCAGGUCCUUAAAAUGCCAAUAAUCUUGACUGUUUGCCAUGUUGGAGGUCGAUUGGGGCUUUAAUCUAGAAACAUCUCGCAUAACAUUGUGUAUCCCUGCCUUAAGAUAUUCCAGCCUCAAUCCAUUUAAGGCUUUAAAGGUUAAAAGCAGAAACUUGAUUUAAGCCCAGAAGUACAUUGUGAGCCACUGCAGCCAUGUUAGGGUUGGAAAGAUCUGAUCCAUACACCCAGUCUUAGUCAGAGUCUACACUGUGUUCUGUUUUGCACAAACUGCUUCAUAUGGUGUCAGAAUCUAAAGAAUAUGCUUCUUACCAUAUCAAAUAAUUAGUCCAUCAGGCCCAGUAUUGCUUUGCUUGUUUCCCAUACUCUGUGCAUAAGUAUAGAGACAACUGAAACCAUGAGUCAUUCCCUCCAGCUGCUUCUUUCUUGUAGUUUCCUGCCUUUUAGCAGGUCUCUGUAGCACCACCUCAGUUUUCUGUGCAACAAAGAAGCUAUAAUCCCCAGUACCAGGUAUUCCUUUGUCAUUUGUAUUAUUCUCCCCCUCCCCUUUAGGAUUUAAUUUAAAGCUCUCCUGAUCAGGUUCGUAAGUCUCUUAGCAAAUACAUUCUUGCCAACCCCAUUGAGGUGCAACCCAUCUCUUGCCAGAAGUCCUUCAUCAAGGAAGUGGAGUAUAUGUGUGCUGUUUUUCACAGGCUGGUAAAGACCCUUGAGCAAUUUAUAUCUAUACUCCUGUGACAAUGUUAACAUCCUCAAAAUAGAUAUGUUGGCUGCCUAGUUCAAUUUUUGUCUUUAAAAUUAUUUAAAAGUCUCACUGGGAAUCUAAUCAAGUCCUUUGCGGAAUUUACAGAUUUCCCAGCAUGAGAGAACCCAUUUAGCAGAAAAGAAUGUAAGACAUCAACACUUUUCAAUCAGAAGCUAAUUAAACAGCAGCACAGAACAGUUUGCAGAGGGUGUGCAAACAGCACUCUUGAAUCUCCAAGACUGCAGGGCAGAGUGUGUUUAGUUGUGCUGGCUUCACAGUCCUACUUUGUGAUUUACUCCUUGGCAAUUUAGAAAGGAUGGUGCUAAAGAACCUUGAUUUCAAACUUGUGAAAUACACACAUUUUUUUCCACCCCUCCCCUUUUCCCUUCUUUUGUUGUUGUUGUUGAGAUUUACAUGAAAACAGAGUGAGUAAUGAGUCCAUCAACAAGUCCUUUCUUAUCAGAGCUGUAAGUUUCUGCCGUGAGAUUCUUUUCUUGUUUAAUUAUCAGGUCUUUAAAAGGCGCAUCUUUCAUCUGUCUCGAUUACUUCCUCUGUUUUCCAGAUAAUGAGUAGCUUAAUCCCAUGUGCUAUAAGACAGAUCUGUUUACUAAAAAAAAAAGUUGGCUUAGUGUCCAUCUUAUGAAAGAACAUUGAGGACUUAAUUGUGGUUUCUGCUUUUUUAUUCAAUGGGUACGAUCCAAAGUUAAGCAUUUUUAUAGCCUCUUGAUUUAAUGGGAGAGUUAAGCAUGUGCUUAAAAUCUUCUAUAUUGAAAUCAACAGUACUUAUAAAUGCUUAAUUAAUUUUGUCUGGAUGGUGCCUUGUGUAGUUAUUCUAGACAUUCAAAGGUUCCAAGUUAGUCUGGGGGAAAAACUCUGCCCAUGUUCCAGUACCUACUCUGGCUUGGCUCAGUAUAUGUACAUGAAUGAAUGAAGAUGAUCCUUUGGCACAGCUUCCUUGUGGUAAUCUUGGCUUUGGAACUCAUGCUUUUUUAUAUGUAUUUGUGCAGUUGGCUCCAAUGAGCUGAAAUCUAUUUUGUGUUCACGGAUAAUAGCCAGCCGCUUGGCUCAGCUUGUAUUGUGGCUUUAUCUGGAAGUAUAUCCAUAUUGACUUUAAAAAAUGCCCGUGGGUACCAAGCUUUUCAUUUCCAAACUGGCAUUGUUUCCACAAUCAUAUUUACACGGACUCCUUUUUCAUUUUCUCUUCUCCUUCACAGAUUCCAUGGAUGAAGCCUCUGACCACAUAUUGGAAGACUUUGCCAUUGCCCAACAAGCAACCCAUCGUGAUAAAUACUGAUUGCAUGUUAUGGACUUGGAGAGCACAUUAAGAAUUUUCUCCCUAACUCCUUAAAUAUCUUGAAGAAUCAACCAUAAGUAGAGUGUAAUGUUUCAUAACUGGGGCCCACAACUGUGCUGUGGGAACUGUGUCAAACACAGAGGC